rnacentral:rRNA from 1 species
AAGUCUCCGUAGGUGAACCUGCGGAGGGAUCAUUACUGAGAGCGGGCCCCCGGCCCGACCUCCAACCCUUUGUAAUCAAAACCUAUGUUGCCUCGGGGGCGACCCGGCCCCGUCGGGUGUCGGGGCCCCCGGUGGACCAUUCAUUAAAACUCUGCAUCUUUGCGUCGGGUUUAAAAGUUUAAUUGAUUAAAACUUUCAACAACGGAUCUCUUGGUUCUGGCAUCGAUGAAGAACGCAGCGAAAUGCGAUAAGUAAUGUGAAUUGCAGAAUUCAGUGAAUCAUCGAGUUUUUGAACGCACACUGCGCCCCUUGGUAUUCCGGGGGGCAUGCCUGUUCGAGCGUCAUUUCACCAAUCAAGCCUGGCUUGGUAUUGGGCACCGGGGGCGACCCGGGCCUCAAAGUCCGCCGGCUGGAAAGCUCUGAUCUAAGCGUCGUGGUAAACAAUUCGCUGGAGAGAGGGGUGGUCCAUGCCGUGAAACUUCAUUCAAGGUUGACCUCGGAUCAGGUAGGAAUACCCGCUGAACUUAAGCAUAUCAUUAAGCGGAGGAA